AGAGCGAACGCUGGCGGCAGGCCUAAUACAUGCAAGUCGAACGGAUCCUUCGGGAUUAGUGGCGGACGGGUGAGUAACACGUGGGAACGUGCCCUUUGGUUCGGAACAACUCAGGGAAACUUGAGCUAAUACCGAAUGAGCCCCCAUCCUUAAACAAGAUGGGUGGGAAAGAUUUAUCGCCAUUGGAGCGGCCCGCGUCUGAUUAGCUAGUUGGUGGGGUAAAGGCCCACCAAGGCGACGAUCAGUAGCUGGUCUGAGAGGAUGAUCAGCCACACUGGGACUGAGACACGGCCCAGACUCCUACGGGAGGCAGCAGUAGGGAAUCUUGCGCAAUGGGCGAAAGCCUGACGCAGCCAUGCCGCGUGAAUGAUGAAGGUCUUAGGAUUGUAAAAUUCUUUCAGCGGGGACGAUAAUGACGGUACCCGCAGAAGAAGCCCCGGCUAACUUCGUGCCAGCAGCCGC
rnacentral:rRNA from 1 species